rnacentral:rRNA from 1 species
AUUGAACGCUGGCGGCAGGCCUAACACAUGCAAGUCGAGCGGAUGAAGGGAGCUUGCUCCUGGAUUCAGCGGCGGACGGGUGAGUAAUGCCUAGGAAUCUGCCUGGUAGUGGGGGAUAACGUCCGGAAACGGGCGCUAAUACCGCAUACGUCCUGAGGGCGAAAGUGGGGGAUCUUCGGACCUCACGCUAUCAGAUGAGCCUAGGUCGGAUUAGCUAGUUGGUGGGGUAAAGGCCUACCAAGGCGACGAUCCGUAGCUGGUCUGAGAGGAUGAUCAGUCACACUGGAACUAGGAAACGGUGCAGACUCCUAGGGUAGGCAGAAGUGGGGAGUAUUGGACAGUGGUGGAAAGCCUGAUGCAGUAAGAGCGGGGGGGUGAAGAAGGACUUCGGGUUGUAAAGCCUUUCUGUUGAGAAAGAAAAGCAGCAGGUUAAUACCACGCUGUUGCGGCGGUACCAAAAGAAUAAGCACCGGCUAACUUCGUG